rnacentral:rRNA from 1 species
AUUGAACGCUGGCGGCAUGCCUUACACAUGCAAGUCGAACGGUAACAGGUCUUCGGAUGCUGACGAGUGGCGAACGGGUGAGUAAUACAUCGGAACGUGCCCAGACGUGGGGGAUAACGAGGCGAAAGCUUUGCUAAUACCGCAUACGAUCUAAGGAUGAAAGCAGGGGACCGCAAGGCCUUGUGCGUUUGGAGCGGCCGAUGGCAGAUUAGGUAGUUGGUGGGAUAAAAGCUUACCAAGCCGACGAUCUGUAGCUGGUCUGAGAGGACGACCAGCCACACUGGGACUGAGACACGGCCCAGACUCCUACGGGAGGCAGCAGUGGGGAAUUUUGGACAAUGGGCGAAAGCCUGAUCCAGCAAUGCCGCGUGCAGGAUGAAGGCCUUCGGGUUGUAAACUGCUUUUGUACGGAACGAGAAGGCUCUGGCUAAUACCUGGGGCACAUGACGGUACCGUAAGAAUAAGCACCGGCUAACUACGUG